UACGGAGGAUGCAAGCGUUAUCCGGAAUGAUUGGGCGUAAAGCGUCCGCAGGUGGCUGUGUAAGUCUGCUGUCAAAGAGCAAAGCUCAACUUUGUAAAGGCAGUGGAAACUACACGGCUAGAGUGCGUUCGGGGCAGAGGGAAUUCCUGGUGUAGCGGUGGAAUGCGCAGAGAUCAGGAAGAACAUCGGUGGCGAAGGCGCUCUGCUGGACCAUAACUGACACUCAGGGACGAAAGCUAGGGGAGCGAAUGGG
rnacentral:rRNA from 1 species